rnacentral:rRNA from 1 species
UACGUAGGUGGCAAGCGUUGUCCGGAUUUACUGGGCGUAAAGAGCGCGCAGGCGGUCGUUCAAGUCGCGUGUGAAAGCCCCCGGCUCAACUGGGGAGGGUCACGCGAUACUGAUCGACUCGAAGGCAGGAGAGGGUAGUGGAAUUCCCGGUGUAGUGGUGAAAUGCGCAGAUAUCAGGAGGAACACCGGUGGCGAAGGCGGCUGCCUGGCCUAACACUGACGCUGAGGUGCGAAAGCGUGGGGAGCGAACGGG